rnacentral:rRNA from 1 species
AUUGAACGCUGGCGGCAGGCCUAACACAUGCAAGUCGAACGGUAACAGGAAGCAGCUUGCUGCUUUGCUGACGAGUGGCGGACGGGUGAGAAAUGUCUGGGAAACUGCCUGAUGGAGGGGGAUAACUACUGGAAACGGUAGCUAAUACCGCAUAACGUCGCAAGACCAAAGAGGGGGACCUUAGGGCCUCUUGCCAGCGGAUGUGCCCAGAUGGGAUUAGCUAGUAGGUGGGGUAACGGCUCACCUAGGCGACGAUCCCUAGCUGGUCUGAGAGGAUGACCGGCCACACUGGAACUGAGACACGGUCCAGACUCCUACGGGAGGCAGCAGUGGGGAAUAUUGCGCAAUGGGCGCAAGCCUGAUGCAGCCAUGCCGCGUGUAUGAAGAAGGCCUUCGGGUUGUAAAGUACUUUCAGCGGGGAGGAAGGGAGUAAAGUUAAUACCUUUGCUCAUUGACGUUACCCGCAGAAGAAGCACCGGCUAACUCCGUG